rnacentral:lncRNA from 1 species
UACACACAAAUAUACACAUACUCACACAUGCACUUACAGACACUCACACAUGCACAGACAGACCCACAGACACACACACACUUACUGACACACACACAUACACUUACAGACAGACACAUACACUUACAGACAGACACAUACACUUACAGACAGACACAUACACUUACAGACACAGACACACACAUACACUUACAGACACAGACACACACAUACACUUACAGACAC